rnacentral:rRNA from 1 species
UACGAAGGGGGCUAGCGUUGCUCGGAAUCACUGGGCGUAAAGCGCACGUAGGCGGAUUGUUAAGUCAGGGGUGAAAUCCUGGAGCUCAACUCCAGAACUGCCUUUGAUACUGGCGAUCUCGAGUCCGGGAGAGGUGAGUGGAACUCCGAGUGUAGAGGUGAAAUUCGUAGAUAUUCGGAAGAACACCAGUGGCGAAGGCGGACUCACUGGCCCGGUACUGACGCUGAGGUGCGAAAGCGUGGGGAGCAAACAGG